UUUACCUUAAAAUUCAGUGACCAUUUGUGAAAUUAACACUUUUACAUUUUAGUACUAGUGUCAAAUAUUUAGCAAGGAGGAAGAUUUCCGUCAAUGGCGGACUCAGUCAACAGCUAGACUUCACGCAAGCAUUGCUUUUCUAAGGUAAAAUUUACUAAUUUUCAGUUCAUCUGAUUCUGAUCUAUUGAUUAUAUGUGUAUAUUUAAAUCAAUGGUGAGUAAAUCUUUUAGUACCCCUAUGUUUGAUUUUUGUUUUGCAAAUUAGGGUUAUUGAAGCGGUGCAAACUUUUCACUGCUCAUUUUCGUCCUGUUAAAAUAAUGAAAUUUGACAUGUUUAGUACUUUAUGUUGAACCAAGAAUUGGACGAUUAUUAAUAUUUGGGAUUAGGGUGAGAACUUAGUUUUGGUUGGCGAAGCAUGGGUGAGUCCGAACGAAUUGGUUUAAAAUUAGCUCUUUUUAUUUGAAGGAUUCACGACUUCAAAUUAAAAUGUCACCCCAGAGUCUGAUUAAUCAAAGUUCCUUUCUUUUGUCGGAUUUCUGCAACUAUAGGCAUAUGUAUGGCAGGGUUUUUACUGGAGUAUACUCUUGUUGUGUGUGUGUGUGUAAAUUUACUUGAAUAGACAAAAACCAAAUAAAAUCUUUCACUCUAAUUCAUCCACUAAUAUUUAUCCAAAUUAAAUGUUUUUGGGCAUUUUAUAUUCUUUUGAUCCAUUGAGCACGUUUACUUGGGAUGUAAUUCAAAUGCAAUUAUUACCGCAAUCAUAAUGUUGUAUUUUAGUUCUAAAAUAUCAUUUCUUCUUCUUCUUUUUUUCUUUUUUUUUUCCUUUUUAAUUUUUUGAUAGUGAUAAUCUUUGUCCAACAUAUUUGUUGACAAACUAUAGUGGGAAGAGGAGAGAUGCAAACAAGGCGUUUGAAAUUUUAUGUAAUUGUAGGAUUUAUCCAAUUCUAUCUGAUGCUAGCACUUGGGAGAAAAAACCUUAGCAUUAGUCUUAAUUGUUUCUAGUGGUAAGUAAUGUAAUCUGUUGCAAAAUAGUAUAAUAUAUUAAUUAUUCUUGGUUGUUUGAAGAGGUUUGAUAACGUUAAAUAUAUUCUUUUGUUUCUUUAUAAAUAUUUUUUUUCCCGGUUGUGCUACAUACAUGUACAUAUAGUUGACAUACACGCACGAUGUGAUGAAAUAUGCUUGGAUCAGAAUUUCUCCAACUUAAAAAAAAAAAAAAAGAACUUCCUCACUCUUUUUUGACACUCAGCUGUAUAUAAAUUAUUAUGUAACUCCUUAUAUACAAGUAGCAUUAUUCAAUUUGUUUUGGUUAAACUUUGAAAUUUAAUGCUGAUUAAUAUAAUAUUUUCUUAAAUUUUAAAAUUGUAAUAGGGAUUGAUCUGAAGUGCGAUAGAUAUAUAAAGUGGCGUUGAUAUAAGGUGUUUAAAUGAAUGAAUUUAAUAAAGAUAAUGUUGGAAUGCAAUGGAAUAUAGUACUUUUUUAAAAUUUUAGAACUUUUAUAGGUUUAGAUUUAGAGUGAGAUACAUAUAUUGGAAUGGUGGAUGAAAAUAGCGGCUUUCUAAAUUUAUUUGAACUGAUAUUUCCACUAGGCAGGCUGAUUUGAUUUUCUGAUUCGAUGGGUAGAAUUUUCAAAUUUUGGAAAGUUGAGGUGUCAUCUUAAUUUGAGAGUUAUCUUUGUUAGAUUUAACUUCAGGGAUACUUUGAUGUUGCAGUACAUUAUAGGAACAUACACUCGAUCAAUUAGGUUUUUGCUAACUUUUGCAAGAGGUAAAAUUUCAUUGCUGGUCUUCAAUAAAUGGCAAUUCAGUAUUUUAUUUAUUUUUAUUUUUAUUUAUUUUUAAUUGAGGGGUUAGAUUUCUGGGGGAAAAAUAACUGGAGCAUUUUUAGGAGAACCAGUAUUAUAUCAAUUUUUUAUGGGAACUUCCUGAAGGUGCAAUCACCUUGCCUCGGGGAUCAGAAAAUGGGUAUAAUCUCCUCUAUAUUUUUCCCUCAUCCUUUCAGAAGUUCUUCUGAUUUAUAGUUAUCUAAUGGUAAAAAAGCUAAACUGUAGUAUUUGAAUAUUCAUAUGAAUGCAUUCAUAUCUGUAGGAGGACAUCCUCCUUCCCUCCACUACCUCCUGAAAAAAUAAAAAAUUUCAUCUUUGUUAUAUUUUGAAAGCUCUUUGUCUAAAAUAUUUGAUUUAUUUUCUUUUUUGCAGUGCAUUUUGCUCCUGGUCCUGAAUUCUAUUGCUAGUGUUUCCUGUAUCACGAGCUGAGACUGUGAUUUUUGGUGUGUACUGGCAAUGCUUCUCAAAUUUUACAUAUAUGUAUUGUGUAAAUGUCAAUAAACUUAUUUUCAAGCGAAGUUUUCCUUCUGCUGCACUAAGGAUUGUGCUUCAUCUCUAUGGCAUUCUCAAGUUAUUAAUAGCAUUGUGGUGUCACCAGUUGUUUCCAUUGAAGUUGAAUUGGAGGGAAAAGAAAUUCAGUAUUAUCAAAAUGGAACAAUCAAGAAGUCAUAAUUUUGUGCUAUAUAAUCCCCCAGAUCACGGAAACAAUGAACAUGCUCCUGAAUCUCGAGUGUUCCAGGUGGAUCCUUUAGGUC
rnacentral:lncRNA from 1 species